rnacentral:rRNA from 1 species
UACGGGGGGGGCAAGCGUUUGUUCGGAAUUACUGGGCGUAAAGGGCUCGUAGGUGGCCAACUAAGUCAGACGUGAAAUCCCUCAGCUUAACUGGGGAACUGCGUCUGAUACUGGAUGGCUUGAGUUUGGGAGAGGGAUGCGGAAUUCCAGGUGUAGCGGUGAAAUGCGUAGAUAUCUGGAGGAACACCGGUGGCGAAGGCGGCAUCCUGGACCAUUACUGACACUGAAAAGCGAAAGCCAGGGGAGCAAACGGG